UACGAAGGGGGCUAGCGUUGUUCGGAAUUACUGGGCGUAAAGCGCACUAGGCGGAUAUUUAAGUCAGGGGUGAAAUCCCAGAGCUCAACUCUGGAACUGCCUUUGAUACUGGGUAUCUUGAGUAUGGAAGAGGUGAGUGGAAUUCCGAGUGUAGAGGUGAAAUUCGUAGAUAUUCGGAGGAACACCAGUGGCGAAGGCGGCUCACUGGUCCAUUACUGACGCUGAGGUGCGAAAGCGUGGGGAGCAAACAGG
rnacentral:rRNA from 1 species